AGAGUUUGAUCAUGGCUCAGAUUGAACGCUGGCGGCAUGCUUUACACAUGCAAGUCGAACGGUAACAGGGAGCUUGCUCCGCUGACGAGUGGCGAACGGGUGAGUAAUAUAUCGGAACGUACCCAAGAGUGGGGGAUAACGUAGCGAAAGUUACGCUAAUACCGCAUACGAUCUAAGGAUGAAAGCAGGGGACCGCAAGGCCUUGUGCUCCUGGAGCGGCCGAUAUCUGAUUAGCUAGUUGGUAGGGUAAAGGCCUACCAAGGCAUCGAUCAGUAGCUGGUCUGAGAGGACGACCAGCCACACUGGAACUGAGACACGGUCCAGACUCCUACGGGAGGCAGCAGUGGGGAAUUUUGGACAAUGGGCGCAAGCCUGAUCCAGCAAUGCCGCGUGAGUGAAGAAGGCCUUCGGGUUGUAAAGCUCUUUUGUCAGGGAAGAAACGGGUGAGGCUAAUAUCCUCAUCUAAUGACGGUACCUGAAGAAUAAGCACCGGCUAACUACGUGCCAGCAGCCGCGGUAAUACGUAGGGUGCAAGCGUUAAUCGGAAUUACUGGGCGUAAAGCGUGCGCAGGCGGUUUUGUAAGUUUGUCGUGAAAUCCCCGGGCUCAACCUGGGAAUGGCGAUGAAGACUGCAAGGCUAGAGUUUGGCAGAGGGGGGUAGAAUUCCACGUAGCAGUGAAAUGCGUAGAGAUGUGGAGGAACACCGAUGGCGAAGGCAGCCCCCUGGGUCAAAACUGACGCUCAUGCACGAAAGCGUGGGGAGCAAACAGGAUUAGAUACCCNNGUAGUCC
rnacentral:rRNA from 1 species